UGACUUCCCGACUGUCUACUACAACAAGUUUUGCCCAGCUCCGAUGAGGGAGGGGCGAUGAUGACAGCGUUCAUUCGGCUCGCGUCAUCGCUAGGUGGUAAAUGCAUCUGGAUGUAUUUUUAUUGUUCUUUAUGUUCAUUGUACUGUCAUGAUUGAUGAUAAUUAGAUCAGAAGGUUUCCCCCAGAAAGAAAAAUACUCUACCGUUGCGACAUAUUCUAUGUCUAUCAUGUUAAAAGUCAAAUAAAACUGAUUUCAAAUUACAAUGUUUUGCUAUUUUGUGUAUGCGAGGGAGAAGUAACUAUUUCUAAGUCACCCCCCAUUUGAUCUUUGUGGAAGUAAGAUGUCUCCAACAAGGUGCCAGCAAGCACCACAUUUCACUACUAGAACCCAGCCGAUGACCACAUCGGACCGGCAGUACCACAUCAACUUCAAUAAUCCGCCCAUGUCUUGGUCGACCCAAGUGUGCAUCAAGGCAUCAACACUGAAAAUGAGGUUGCAUUAAUUUGCCCCAAGGACAUAGAGUCAAAGUGGAUUGCGACAGGCAAAGCCGCCGGCGGCUAGCUAGCCUGCAAAAAUUCUUUCUUUCCCUUCGCGUGUUUAGACAAAGCUCAAAUAUUGUGUUUUGAUAUUCGUCCAGUUUGUCUGUUAGCACCGGGUCUCGAGCUCCAGGGUGAAAAUGCCUAGGUCUAAAUUGAGUGGGUUCUACCUGACAAUGACGAUAUUUUUCUUACGUCGUUACCUUAUUGAAGGCAUUGUUCAGAUACACUCGGACUAAUUAUUCAGGGUGAAAACCUAGAUAUUGGCCUUAUGUUUGGAUCCAGUGACGGUGACGUUUGGGUGUCGCUCCCUUUCUAAAAACGUUGUUGUUGAAUAAUCUCGUCAUCCAUGUGGUGUCAUGAGAUGGUUGAUACGAAUAUGAUCAUUGUUGGCUUUUUUUUCUUGCAUACGCAUAGCUUUGGUAUUAUAUGACUUUGUUAAUUGCCGGCGUGAUCGUGUGUGUGAGUUGAUGUUGGCUAUGUGCACCAUAA